AUGAAUGCUGGCGGCGUGUCUAAGGCAUGCAAGUCGAACGGGUGUAUUUAGUAGCAAUACAAAGAUACACUAGUGGCAAACGGGAGCGUAACACAUUGGCAACCUACCUCGAACUCGUGGAUAACGAUUGGAAACGAUCGCUAAUACACGAUAUUGAUGGGGGGACGCAAGUCAUUCCCAUUGAAAGUUUUUCGGUUCGAGAGGGGCCUAUGGUCCAUCAGCUAGUUGGCGGGGUAACGGCCCACCAAGGCGACGACGGAUACCAGGCGCGAGAGCGUGACCUGGCUCAUUGGAACUGAGACACUGUCCAAACACCUACGGGUGGCUGCAGUCGAGAAUAUUCCACAAUGCACGAAAGUGUGAUGGAGCGACGCCGCGUGUCAAAAGAAGGCCUUCGGGUCGUAAAUGACUUUUCUCAGGGACGAAUUUUGACGGUACCUGAGGAAUAAGGGGUUGCUAACUCUGU
rnacentral:rRNA from 1 species